GACACGCUGGCGGCGUGCUUAAUACAUGCAAGUCGAACGGAGCCUAGCCGGUAGUUUACUACAGGCGAAAGCUUAGUGGCGGACGGGUGAGUAACGCGUGGGCAAUCUGCCCCUAAGUCCGGGAUAACAGAGCGAAAGUUCUGCUAAGACCGGAUACUCUUCCUUGGUCGCAUGGCGGAGGAAGGAAAGGAUACGCUUAGGGAUGAGCCCGCGUCCCAUUAGCUAGUUGGUGAGGUAACGGCCCACCAAGGCGACGAUGGGUAGCCGGCCUGAGAGGGUGGACGGCCACACUGGGACUGAGACACGGCCCAGACUCCUACGGGAGGCAGCAGUAGGGAAUUUUCCGCAAUGGGGGAAACCCUGACGGAGCAACGCCGCGUGAGGGAAGAAGGCCUUCGGGUCGUAAACCUUUGUCAUCGAGGACGAUAAUGACGGUACUCGAGGAGGAAGCCCCGGCUAACUACGUG
rnacentral:rRNA from 1 species